AACGUAGAAGACAAGCGUUAUCCGGAGUUACUGGGCGUAAAGGGCGUGCAGGCGGCCUCUUAAGUCUGUUGUGAAAGCGCCUGGCUUAACCGGGCGAGGCCAAUGGAGACUGGGAGGCUGGAGGACGGCGGAGGGGUGUGGAAUUCCGGGUGUAGUGGUGAAAUGCGUAGAGAUCCGGAGGAACACCAGAGGCGAAGGCGGCACCCUAAGCCGUACCUGACGCUGAGACGCGACAGCACGGGGAGCAAAC
rnacentral:rRNA from 1 species